rnacentral:rRNA from 1 species
AUUGAACGCUGGCGGCAGGCCUAACACAUGCAAGUCGAGCGGAUGAAGGGUGCUUGCUCCUGGAUUCAGCGGCGGACGGGUGAGUAAUGCCUAGGAAUCUGCCUGGUAGUGGGGGAUAACGUCCGGAAACGGGCGCUAAUACCGCAUACGUCCUGAGGGAGAAAGUGGGGGAUCUUCGGACCUCACGCUAUCAGAUGAGCCUAGGUCGGAUUAGCUAGUGGGUGGGGUAAAGGCCUACCAAGGCGACGAUCCGUAACUGGUCUGAGAGGAUGAUCAGUCACACGGGAACUGAGACACGGUCCAGACUCCUACGGGAGGCAGCAGUGGGGAAUAUUGGACAAUGGGCGAAGGCCUGAUCCAGCCAUGCCGCGUGUGUGAAGAAGGUCUUCGGAUUGUAAAGCACUUUAAGUUGGGAGGAAGGGCAGUAAGUUAAUACCUUGCUGUUUUGACGUUACCAACAGAAUAAGCACCGGCUAACUUCGUG